rnacentral:miRNA from 1 species
AGGGCGUUUUGGUACAUGACU